CCUUUCUCUGGACUUGUCCUUUCUCCUUCCUGAGCCUCACGCAGCCCCUUCCCCUCCUUACUUCAGGGCCCUACCAGAAGAAGGGGGAAGAGAGGAAGAACCUGACCUUCUGCAAUCAGAAUGCAGCCCAGAGCAGACAGCACUCAUCGGCAGUACCCAGGCCUGUAGGGUGCUGGUGGACCCCCAGGGCCCCUUUGCUGCAUGUCACCAGAUUAUAGCUCCAGAACCCUUCAAGCAGCGCUGUAUAUCGGAUAUGUGCACUGGCUGGAAGACCAAGGAAGAGGAGGAACUGCGAUGUCGCGUCCUCGGUGGCUAUGCCAUCAUUUGCCGGGAUGCAGGUGCCAACAUGACUGGUUGGCGGGACCAGGCACACUGUGCCAUGACGUGUCCUGCCAAUACUGUGUAUCAGAGCUGCAUGACACCCUGCCCAGCAACCUGUGCCAAAUUUGUGACCCCCAAGGUCUGUGAAGGCCCCUGCGUGGAAGGCUGUGCCAGUCUCCCAGGCUACAUCUACAGUGACACACAGAGCCUCCCAGUGACGCACUGUGGCUGCACCACCAAUGGCAUCUAUUACAAGCUGGGUGACAGCUUCGUAACUAACAACUGCUCCCAGCGCUGCUCCUGUGCAAGCCGAGGGAUCCUGCUGUGCGAGCCCUAUGGCUGCAGAGGUGGAGAGUCCUGCAUGGUGGCCAACUUUACUCGAGACUGCUUCCGGGACAGCCCGUGUCUGCAGAACCCCUGUCACAAUGAUGGCCGGUGUGAGGAGCGAGGGGCUGCCUUCAUCUGCCACUGUGACUUUGGUUAUGGAGGAGAAUUCUGCACAGAGCCUCGAGAUGUCACCACCAGGAAAAAGCUAGAAGCAUCCAGCUUAGUGGCCAUCCUGCCAGGGGUGCUUGUGAUGGUGUUAGUCCCGGUCCUACUGCCCAGAGUGUAUGUUUACAUGGCGACAAGAACUACCAUGGCGAGGAGGAGGAGGAAAGGGUAAGUCCCGGUCUGGGGAGGAAGUGGUGGAGGAUAGUUGAUGGGUGGGGCCUAAUGCACACAGAAGCCGUGCUCCCCAUCUGUUCCUCACUUCCUCUAGGGAGAAACUGUUGAGACGAAGUAUACUUAGGCUGGAGGACACAGGUGAGAACCAGACCUGGGGCUAUGUGAGUCCUAGCCAAGAACUGAGUCCUCCUGCAACGUGGGUGUUCUUGCUUUCUCCUCAGAUGUUCCAGAGCCUACCUUCAAAGCCACCGAGUUCUGAGUUGUCCUCAAACAGAGAAAAAUAUUUUAUUUUUUUAAAUAGCUUUUGUUUUAGGAUUGUUAUUGUGGGGGGAUGGGCACGUGCCUGCCACUUGCAUGUCUGGAGGUGAGAAGACAACUUGUGGGAGUCACUUCCUUUACUUUGCGGGACAUGGGGAUUGAACUCAGGACACGAGGCUUCACAGCGAGCACCUUCUCCACCAAGACAGGCCCAGGCUUAAUGUUUUUAGUAGGAGUGUCUCCCUGAUUGUGGUGGAGGCAGCGAGUCUGAGAGCUGAAGAGAAAUGGGAAAGGGAGACAGGUGUGUGUGGAUCCCUGAAGGUCGAGUGCUGUGCAGGGAAUGUCCCGGGGGACAGAACCUCAGGUCUCAGGAAGGAGAAUGUCACCAGUCACGAAAGCUACAGUCAGAGCCUGUUCAGCUCUGGUAGGGCACCAGCAAUGGAAGGCAGAAGAGGCAGGGAGGGAAGGUUCUGGAAGGAAGAAUGAGCAG
rnacentral:lncRNA from 14 species